rnacentral:rRNA from 1 species
GCUUCUUUGCCGGCGAGCGGCGGACGGGUGAGUAAUGUCUGGGGAUCUGCCCGAUGGAGGGGGAUAACUACUGGAAACGGUAGCUAAUACCGCAUAACGUCGCAAGACCAAAGUGGGGGACCUUCGGGCCUCACACCAUCGGAUGAACCCAGAUGGGAUUAGCUAGUAGGUGGGGUAAUGGCUCACCUAGGCGACGAUCCCUAGCUGGUCUGAGAGGAUGACCAGCCACACUGGAACUGAGACACGGUCCAGACUCCUACGGGAGGCAGCAGUGGGGAAUAUUGCACAAUGGGGGAAACCCUGAUGCAGCCAUGCCGCGUGUGUGAAGAAGGCCUUCGGGUUGUAAAGCACUUUCAGCGGGGAAGAAGGCGUUAGCGUUAACAGCGCUAUCGAUUGACGUUACCUGCAGAAGAAGCACCGGCUAACUCCGUGCCAGCAGCCGCGGUAAUACGGAGGGUGCAAGCGUUAAUCGGAAUUACUGGGCGUAAAGCGUACGCAGGCGGUCUGUUAAGUCAGAUGUGAAAUCCCCGGGCUUAACCUGGGAACUGCAUUUGAAACUGGCAGGCUAGAGUCUCGUAGAGGGGGGUAGAAUUCCAGGUGAAGCGGUGAAAUGCGUAGAGAUCUGGAGGAAUACCGGUGGCGAAGGCGGCCCCCUGGACGAAGACUGACGCUCAGGUACGAAAGCGUGGGGAGCAAACAGGAUUAGAUACCCUGGUAGUCCACGCCGUAAACGACGUUGAUUUGAAGGUUGUGGCCUUGAGCUGUGGCUUUCGGAGCUAACGCGUUAAAUCGACCGCCUGGGGAGUACGGCCGCAAGGUUAAAACUCAAAUGAAUUGACGGGGGCCCGCACAAGCGGUGGAGCAUGUGGUUUAAUUCGAUGCAACGCGAAGAACCUUACCUACUCUUGACAUCCAGAGAACUUGGCAGAGAUGCCUUGGUGCCUUCGGGAGCUCUGAGACAGGUGCUGCAUGGCUGUCGUCAGCUCGUGGUGUGAAAUGUUGGGUUAAGUCCCGCAACGAGCGCAACCCUUAUCCUUUGUUGCCAGCGAUUUGGUCGGGAACUCAAAGGAGACUGCCGGUGAUAAACCGGAGGAAGGUGGGGAUGACGUCUAGUCAUCAUGGCCCUUACGAGUACGGCUAC